rnacentral:rRNA from 1 species
CCGCCAGAGGACCCCUAAACUCUGUUUCUAUAUGUAACUUCUGAGUAAAACCAUAAAUAAAUCAAAACUUUCAACAACGGAUCUCUUGGUUCUGGCAUCGAUGAAGAACGCAGCAAAAUGCGAUAAGUAAUGUGAAUUGCAGAAUUCAGUGAAUCAUCGAAUCUUUGAACGCACAUUGCGCCCGCCAGUAUUCUGGCGGGCAUGCCUGUUCGAGCGUCAUUUCAACCCUCAAGCACAGCUUGGUGUUGGGACUCGCGUUAAUUCGCGUUCCUCAAAUUGAUUGGCGGUCACGUCGAGCUUCCAUAGCGUAGUAGUAAAACCCUCGUUACUGGUAAUCGUCGCGGCCACGCCGUUAAACCCCAACUUCUGAAUGUUGACCUCGGAUCAGGUAGGAAUACCCGCUGAACUUAAGCAUAUCAAUAAGCGGAGGA